rnacentral:rRNA from 1 species
UAAGGAAUAUUGGACAAUGGAGGCAACUCUGAUCCAGCCAUGCCGCGUGAAGGAAUAAGGCCCUAUGGGUUGUAAACUUCUUUUAGACGGGACAAAACCCCUUUACGUGUAAAGGGUUGAUGGUACUGUCAGAAUAAGCAUCGGCUAACUUCGUGCCAGCAGCCGCGGUAAUACGAAGGAUGCAAGCGUUAUCCGGAAUUAUUGGGUUUAAAGGGUGCGUAGGCGGACUAAUAAGUCAGUGGUGAAAGCCUGCAGCUUAACUGCAGAAUUGCCAUUGAUACUGUUAGUCUUGAGUACAGUUGAGGUAGGCGGAAUGUGUCAUGUAGCGGCGAAAUGCUUAGAUAUGACACAGAACACCGAUUGCGAAGGCAGCUUGCUAAGCUGUAACUGACGCUGAGGCACGAAAGCGUGGGGAGCAAACA